UACGGAGGGCGCAAGCGUUGUUCGGAAUCAUUGGGCGUAAAGCGCGUGUAGGCGGCUUGGCAAGUCGGGUGUGAAAUCCCGGGGCCCAACCCCGGAACUGCAUUCGAAACUGCCUCGCUAGAGUCCCGGAGAGGAAGGCGGAAUUCCCGGUGUAGAGGUGAAAUUCGUAGAUAUCGGGAGGAACACCAGCGGCGAAGGCGGCCUUCUGGACGGUGACUGACGCUCAGACGAGAAAGCGUGGGGAGCAAACAGG
rnacentral:rRNA from 1 species